GGGGGCGUAGCUCAAUUGGUAGAGCGCUCGCUUUGCAUGUGAGACGUACCGGGAUCAAUACCCGACGCUUCCA